UACAGAGGGGGCAAGCGUUAUUCGGAAUUAUUGGGCGUAAAGGGCGCGUAGGCGGCUUGGCAAGUGGAAGGUGAAAUCCCUCGGCUCAACCGAGGAACUGCCUUCUAAACUGCUUUGAUUGAGUCCGGGAGAGGUCAGUGGAAUUCCCAGUGUAGCGGUGAAAUGCGUAGAUAUUGGGAGGAACACCAGUGGCGAAGGCGGCUGACUGGACCGGUACUGACGCUGAGGCGCGAAAAGCGUGGGGGAGCAAAACGGGG
rnacentral:rRNA from 1 species